CAAGUCGCACGCAGGCUUCGGCUUGAGUGGCAGACGGCUGAGUAACGCGUGGGUGACGUACCUGUUGGUGGGGAAUAACUGCCCGAAAGGGUGGCUAAUACCGCAUACGUCUGCUGGUUCGGUUCAGCAGGCAAAGCCGCAAGGCGCCGAUGGAGCGGCCCGCGUUCGAUUAGCUGGUUGGUGGGGUAACGGCCUACCAAGGCGACGAUCGAUAGCUGGUCUCAGAGGAUGAUCAGCCAGACUGGGACUGAGACAAGGCCCAGACUCCUACGGGAGGCAGCAGUUAGGAAUUUUGGGCAAUGGGCGCAAGCCUGACCCAGCAACGCCGCGUGGGUGACGAAGGCCUUCGGGUUGUAAAGCCCUUUUGGAGGGGAAGAUGAUGACGGUACCCUCCGAAGAAGCACCGGCUAACUACGUGC
rnacentral:rRNA from 1 species